rnacentral:rRNA from 1 species
CUCGUAGGCGGUUCAGCAAGUCGGCUGUGAAAUUCCGAGGCUCAACCUCGGAACUGCAGUCGAUACUGCUGUGACUCGAGUCCGGUAGAGGAGAAUGGAAUUCCCGGUGUAGCGGUGAAAUGCGCAGAUAUCGGGAGGAACACCAGUAGCGAAGGCGGUUCUCUGGGCCGGUACUGACGCUGAGGAGCGAAAGCGUGGGGAGCAACA